rnacentral:rRNA from 2 species
UUUAAAGAGAGUUUGAUCCUGGCUCAGGACGAACGCUGGCGGCGUGCCUAAUACAUGCAAGUCGAACGAACGGAGGAAGAGCUUGCUCUUCCAAAGUUAGUGGCGGACGGGUGAGUAACACGUGGGCAACCUGCCUGUAAGUUGGGGAUAACUCCGGG